GACGAACGCUGGCGGCGUGCCUAAUACAUGCAAGUCGAGCGAAUCUUUUGGGAGCUUGCUCCCGAAAGAUUAGCGGCGGACGGGUGAGUAACACGUGGGCAACCUGCCUAUAAGACUGGGAUAACUUCGGGAAACCGGAGCUAAUACCGGAUACGUUCUUUUCUCGCAUGAGAGAAGAUGGAAAGACGGUCGCAGCUGUCACUUAUAGAUGGGCCCGCGGCGCAUUAGCUAGUUGGUGGGGUAAUGGCUCACCAAGGCGACGAUGCGUAGCCGACCUGAGAGGGUGAUCGGCCACACUGGGACUGAGACACGGCCCAGACUCCUACGGGAGGCAGCAGUAGGGAAUCUUCCGCAAUGGACGAAAGUCUGACGGAGCAACGCCGCGUGAACGAAGAAGGCCUUCGGGUCGUAAAGUUCUGUUGUUAGGGAAGAACAAGUACCAGAGUAACUGCUGGUACCUUGACGGUACCUAACCAGAAAGCCACGGCUAACUACGUGCCAGCCGCCGCAGUAAGAC
rnacentral:rRNA from 1 species